AAUUGCAAGUACGCAAUGGAAUUCCUUUAUGGCCCUCGAGAGGAAAUGUCCAACACAGAUGAUGCCAAACUGGACCAGAGUGCCAUGUCCUCAGAGCCAGCAGUCAAUGGAGCACCAUGAGAAAUGUGCAUUUUCCGUUUCUGGCCAACAUAAUCUACCAAUGAGAAGAUUCUCCUGAUGAAAUGGCGGAGGCCACUGGUCGAGUGUGGCCAUCCACUUUCUCCUUCAUUGGAAUCUGGGACAUUGCCAUCAGCUCGGAUAAAUGGCAGUGGUGUAAUGUUGUUUUAAUCCGCAACAGACAUCAUCUCAUGCAAAUUUAUUUAGGAAUGUUACAAUGGUUGAAAAGAUGAUUGUAUGAAUAAAAUAUUUUCGAAAAAUGUAAAAAUGACACCUUGUAAGCGAUUGAGCUGAGGUCCUGUGCACAGUCCAAAAUAUAGCAAAAAUGUUUUAAUUUGACUUAUGUCUCUGCCAAUUCAAAUGUAAGCUUUGUGUAAAUAUGCAUACCUGCAUGGAACGCCAAUUAAAAGGCACCACAUGUGACACCACA